GGGCACCUCCAGGGCUGGGGUCUCAUCGUGUUGUCCCCACUUUAUUCCAACAUCCACCCCAGGCCUGGGGGAGCCCAGGGAGGACCGAGUCUCCUGGGCCCCGCAGGGCGCACAGAGGCCUAUCCAACUGGGAUUCUGAGAUCUGACCUACCCCCAUCCUGCAAGGUCUGUCAAGAAUGAGGACCAGCUUUCCUGGGGUCCCCGCCAGCUGGGAAGAAGCCGUCUCCAAUAUGCUAUCUGCCUGGAAAGUGCCCCCGUGCUGAGCCCAGUUUUUGGUUAAACUUCUCAUGUCACGUUUUCUGACAACACCUUCCAUUGUACCAUCUGUUUCUGAACAAUUCCUGGGACAUUGCAAACUUGUUCUCCAAGAAUACCCUGGGUCUCAGUGUGUGUGACAAGGGA